CUUGAAAUACCACCCUUUAAUGUUUGAUGUUCUAACGUUGACCCGUAAUCCGGGUUGCGGACAGUGUCUGGUGGGUAGUUUGACUGGGGCGGUCUCCUCCUAAAGAGUAACGGAGGAGCACGAAGGUUGGCUAAUCCUGGUCGGACAUCAGGAGGUUAGUGCAAUGGCAUAAGCCAGCUUGACUGCGAGCGUGACGGCGCGAGCAGGUGCGAAAGCAGGUCAUAGUGAUCCGGUGGUUCUGAAUGGAAGGGCCAUCGCUCAACGGAUAAAAGGUACUCCGGGGAUAACAGGCUGAUACCGCCCAAGAGUUCAUAUCGACGGCGGUGUUUGGCACCUCGAUGUCGGCUCAUCACAUCCUGGGGCUGAAGUAGGUCCCAAGGGUAUGGCUGUUCGCCAUUUAAAGUGGUACGCGAGCUGGGUUUAGAACGUCGUGAGACAGUUCGGUCCCUAUCUGCCGUGGGCGCUGGAGAACUGAGGGGGGCUGCUCCUAGUACGAGAGGACCGGAGUGGACGCAUCACUGGUGUUCGGGUUGUCAUGCCAAUGGCACUGCCCGGUAGCUAAAUGCGGAAGAGAUAAGUGCUGAAAGCAUCUAAGCACGAAACUUGCCCCGAGAUAAGUUCUCCCUGACUCCUUGAGAGUCCUAAAGGAACGUUGAAGACGACGACGUUGAUAGGCCGGGUGUGUAAGCGCAGCGAUGCGUUGAGCUAACCGGUACUAAUGAACCGUGAGGCUUAACCUUACAACGCCGAAGGUGUUU
rnacentral:rRNA from 1 species